GUGUGACUGCGUACCUUUUGUAUAAUGGGUCAGCGACUUAUAUUCUGUAGCAAGGUUAACCGUAUAGGGGAGCCGUAGGGAAACCGAGUCUUAACCGGGCGUUAAGUUGCAGGGUAUAGACCCGAAACCCGGUGAUCUAGCCAUGGGCAGGUUGAAGGUUGGGUAACACUAACUGGAGGACCGAACCGACUAAUGUUGAAAAAUUAGCGGAUGACCUGUGGCUGGGGGUGAAAGGCCAAUCAAACCGGGAGAUAGCUGGUUCUCCCCGAAAGCUAUUUAGGUAGCGCCUCGUGAAUUCAUCUCCGGGGGUAGAGCACUGUUUCGGCUAGGGGGCCAUCCCGGCUUACCAACCCGAUGCAAACUGCGAAUACCGGAGAAUGUUAUCACGGGAGACACACGGCGGGUGCUAACGUCCGUCGUGAAGAGGGAAACAACCCAGACCGCCAGCUAAGGUCCCAAAGUCAUGGUUAAGUGGGAAACGAUGUGGGAAGGCCCAGACAGCCAGGAUGUUGGCUUAGAAGCAGCCAUCAUUUAAAGAAAGCGUAAUAGCUCACUGGUCGAGUCGGCCUGCGCGGAAGAUGUAACGGGGCUAAACCAUGCACCGAAGCUGCGGCAGCGAACGUAUCACCCAAGACAACUUUACGGAGUUGACGAUUGACGGAGCGAAGCGACGUCAAAGCGUUCAUUAAAGUCGAGUUGGCUUAGGGAUACGUUCGUUGGGUAGGGGAGCGUUCUGUAAGCCUGUGAAGGUGUGUCGUGAGGCAUGCUGGAGGUAUCAGAAGUGCGAAUGCUGACAUAAGUAACGAUAAAGCGGGUGAAAAGCCCGCUCGCCGGAAGACCAAGGGUUCCUGUCCAACGUUAAUCGGGGCAGGGUGAGUCGACCCCUAAGGCGAGGCCGAAAGGCGUAGUCGAUGGGAAACGGGUUAAUAUUCCCGUACUUGGUGUUACUGCGAAGGGGGGACGGAGAAGGCUAUGUUGGCCGGGCGACGGUUGUCCCGGUUUAAGCGUGUAGGUGUGUGUUCCAGGUAAAUCCGGUUCACUUUAACACUGAGGCGUGACGACGAGGCACUACGGUGCUGAAGCAACAAAUGCCCUGCUUCCAGGAAAAGCCUCUAAGCAUCAGGUAACACGAAAUCGUACCCCAAACCGACACAGGUGGUCAGGUAGAGAAUACCAAGGCGCUUGAGAGAACUCGGGUGAAGGAACUAGGCAAAAUGGUGCCGUAACUUCGGGAGAAGGCACGCUGACACGUAGGUGAAGUGAUUUACUCAUGGAGCUGAAGUCAGUCGAAGAUACCAGCUGGCUGCAACUGUUUAUUAAAAACACAGCACUGUGCAAACACGAAAGUGGACGUAUACGGUGUGACGCCUGCCCGGUGCCGGAA
rnacentral:rRNA from 2 species